UACGUAGGGGGCUAGCGUUAUCCGGAAUUACUGGGCGUAAAGGGUGCGUAGGCGGUCUUUCAAGCCAGAAGUGAAAGGCUACGGCUCAACCGUAGUAAGCCUUUGAAACUGUGAAACUUGAGUGCAGGAGAGGAGAGUGGAAUUCCUAGUGUAGCGGUGAAAUGCGUAGAUAUUAGGAGGAACACCAGUGGCGAAGGCGAUUCUCUGGACUGUAACUGACGCUGAGGCUCGAAAGCGUGGGGAGCAAACAGGAUUAGAUACCCGCGUAGUCCCUGA
rnacentral:rRNA from 1 species